CGGAAAUGACAUUUGAAGGCUCUC
rnacentral:siRNA from 1 species